GACAUACUAAGAACUUUCCAGAGAUGGAUUGGUGCCUUCGGGAACUUAGAUACAGGUGCUGCAUGGCUGUCGUCAGCUCGUGUCGUGAGAUGUUGGGUUAAGUCCCGCACGAGCGCAACCCUUUCCUUAUUUGCCAGCGGGUAAUGCCGGGAACUUUAAGGAUACUGCCAGUGACAAACUGGAGGAAGGCGGGGACGACGUCAAGUCAUCAUGGCCCUUACGGCCAGGGCUACACACGUGCUACAAUGGUCGGUACAAAGGGUUGCUACCUCGCGAGAGGAUGCUAAUCUCAAAAAGCCGAUCGUAGUCCGGAUCGCAGUCUGCAACUCGACUGCGUGAAGUCGGAAUCGCUAGUAAUCGCGGAUCAGAAUGCCGCGGUGAAUACGUUCCCGGGCCUU
rnacentral:rRNA from 1 species